rnacentral:rRNA from 1 species
GAGUUUGAUCGUGGCUCAGAACGAACGCUGGCGGCAGGCCUAACACAUGCAAGUCGAGCGCCCAGCAAUGGGAGCGGCGGACGGGUGAGUAACGCGUGGGAAUUUUUCCUGGAGUACGGAACAACCGAGGGAAACUUCGGCUAAUACCGUAUGAUAUCGAGAGAUCAAAGAUUUAUCGCUCUGGGGUGAGCCCGCGUCAGAUUAGGUAGUUGGUGGGGUAACGGCCUACCAAGCCUGCGAUCUGUAGCUGGUCUGAGAGGACGAUCAGCCACACUGGGACUGAGACACGGCCCAGACUCCUACGGGAGGCAGCAGUGGGGAAUCUUGCGCAAUGGGCGAAAGCCUGACGCAGCCAUGCCGCGUGAGUGAAGAAGGUCUUAGGAUUGUAAAGCUCUUUCGCUCGUGACGAUGAUGACGGUAACGAGAGAAGAAGCCCCGGCUAACUUCGUGCCAGCAGCCGCCGUAAG